rnacentral:tRNA from 1 species
GCGGUGCUUGACUUAAGAUCCGGCUUCAGGAGAGAUCCUGUGGCGUAGGCCUUCGUGGGUUCGAAUCCCACCCCCCGCACCA